CUCUCCUUGGAAGGAGACGCGCCCGCUGCGACUGCGAGAGCGAACCCCCAAAACCCUCGCCACCUCUGCGGGGCGCCGCGCGAUCGCGAGCUCUCUCCCAUUCCCUUCCCUCCCUCCCUCUCUCUCUCGCGCUCCACCCUAAUGCCCCCCACGAGGCCCAAGCGGCGGCGCGGCGGCUCCGCGCGAUCCCGCGGCCGGAAGAAGCAGAAGCGCCUCGACGCCAUCCACGAUGUCGCGCCGGUAUCCGCCCCUCCCGCCGGAGCCGCCGUCGUCGUCGGCGGCGGCGGCGAGAGCGAGGAUUCCGACGCGGAGGGCCCCCGACGGAGCACGCGGGUGCGCCGCGCGCCGGCCCUGCUCGACACCUCGCCGCUCCCCUCCCCGCGCCGUAAGAGGGCGCGCGGCGGCGGCGGCGGCGGGGUGGCCGGGUCGAGCGGCGGGAGCUCGCGGAGGAGAAGCAGAGGUAGGGCGAGGGGCGAGGCGGGGGUUGCCCGCGAGAUUGGCGAGGAAGAGGAGGAGGAGGAAGACGACGAGGCGGGGAACGUGGUGUGGCGCUCUCGGCUGCGGGAUAGGGUCAAGGGGAAGGCUAAGCUGGAUAAGCGAGUUAGGAGCCUCUGGUUCGACGAGGACUACGAGGUGGAGCUGAAGGAGGAGGAGGAGGUGGUGGUGGAGGAGGAGGAGGAGGAUGAGGAGGAGGGGGAUGAGGAGGAGGAGGAGGAGCAGGUUAGGACAUUGGUGGUGGACCUUCGGGAGGGAGCUGAGGAAGAGACAAUGGGCGAGGGAAGUGGGAGCUUGCCAAUGCGAGGGAGGGAAGUGAUGGAUAGGGAAAUCAAUCUAACCAUCGAUUUGAAUGUGGAAGAACAUGAGGCUGUCGAGGGUGUCAAUGUGGUGGAAGAGGAAGAUGGGGAAAAAGGAGGCGAAGCGGAUGAGGAGAAAGGAGAUGCGAUUGGUCCUGGAAAUGAUCUACACGAAGGCAAGCAUGAGGAGGUAGGGGACGAGGAGGGUUUACAUGAGAAGGAGAGAACUGAAGAGCUGGGAUCAGCAGUACUAGAAGGGCGAAAUGGUGAUGAGCUACCUUGCAAUGAGAAUAAUGCUGAGGAUGGCACUGGCAGUUCACAUGAACACGAGCAUCUUCUUGUGCAAAAUGAGCAGACUGUGGAAGAGAGCAACCUUUGUGUUGAGCAGCAAAUGGAACUGGAUGGUUCUAGUCCUAGUGAGCAAUUGAAAGAGGUUCAGCAGGAUGUACAGACAGGUGGUGCCUCAAAUGUAGUACUGCCCGAGGAGGCCCCAAAGGAAGGAGUCCGCAAAUUUCCAGUUUCGGAAGAAAAACAGGGUACCAUGGAGAUUAAAGAAGGGAGACGUUGUGGGCUCUGUGGUGGAGGGACUGAUGGAAGACCACCUAAGGUUGCAUUACAUGAUACAGUUGACAGUGAUAAUGAAGCCUAUGAGGGGGCUUUGCCUUCAGAGGAUCCAAACUAUGAUAUGUGGGACGGGUUCGGUGAUGAUCCUGGGUGGCUUGGAAGGUUAUUGGGUCCAAUACAUGAUCAGUUUGGCAUUGCUCGUGUCUGGGUUCAUCAGAAUUGUGCAGUUUGGAGUCCUGAGGUUUACUUUGCUGGUUUGGGCUGCCUAAAAAAUGUAAGAGCAGCACUUUGCCGUGGAAGGCUUUUGAAGUGCAGCCGAUGUGGCAGACCUGGUGCAACUAUUGGGUGUCGAGUUGAUCGAUGUCCGAAAACCUACCAUUUGCCUUGUAGUCGAGCAGAAGCCUGUAUAUUUGAUCACCGGAUGUUUCUUAUAGCCUGCAAUGAUCAUCGACAUUACUUCCAACCUCAAGGAGAUAAAUAUGUUGAACUGCUCAGAAAAAUGAAGAUAAAAAAGAUGAAGGCAGAUAUCAGAAAGGUGUCACAUGAUGCAUGGAGAAAGGACAUAGAGGCCGAGGAAAAAUGGUUAGAGAACUGUGGAGAAGAUGAGGAAUUCUUGAAACGUGAGGGGAAGAGGCUAAACAGAGAUCUUUCGAGAAUUGCACCUGUUUACAUAGGAGGCACUUCUGAAAAUGAAAAGGCGUACUGUGGCUGGGAGUCUGUUGCUGGGCUCAGUAACGUUAUUCAGAGCAUGAAGGAAGUGGUGAUACUGCCUCUUCUGUAUCCUGAGUUUUUCAGUUCUUUAGGUCUUACACCUCCAAGAGGUGUUCUGCUGCAUGGCCAUCCUGGUACUGGUAAAACACUCGUAGUGCGUGCACUAAUAGGGGCAUGCUCUCAGGGGAACAGAAGGAUUGCUUAUUUUGCUCGAAAAGGUGCUGAUUGUUUGGGAAAGUAUGUUGGCGAUGCUGAGAGACAACUAAGACUUCUGUUUCAGGUAGCUGAAAGAUGUCAACCUUCGAUCAUAUUUUUUGAUGAGAUAGAUGGCUUAGCACCUUCUAGAUCCAGACGACAAGACCAGACACACAAUUCAGUUGUGGCGACUUUGCUUUCUUUGCUGGAUGGUUUGAAAUCACGGGGUUCAGUUAUAGUAAUCGGCGCAACAAAUCGUCCUGAUGCUAUUGAUCCUGCUCUUAGGAGGCCAGGAAGAUUUGACCGUGAGAUAUACUUCCCGCUCCCCACCUUUGAGGAUAGAUCCGCUAUUCUUUCAUUACACACGAAAAAAUGGCCAAGUCCUAUUUCUGGGGCAUUCCUCUCAGUUAUUGCAAGCCAAACUGUUGGAUAUGCUGGUGCUGAUCUGCAGUCAAUUUGCACCCAAGCUGCAAUAAAUGCUUUGAAAAGGACUUGCCCAUUGAAGGAAAUCUUACUCUCUGCAGAGAAAGGAUUUGAGCAUGGGCGACUUCCUCUACCAUCAAUUCUUGUGGAGGAAAGGGAUUGGCUUGCUGCUCUUGCAGCUGCUCCACCACCCUGUUCACAGAGAGAAGCAGGGAUUGCUGCAAAUGAUCUAGUUUCCUCUCCUCUUGUCUCCUAUCUUGUGCCGUGCCUUCUUAAACCAUUGCUGCACCUUUUUAUCUCCCUCUAUUUGGAUGAGCGAAUCUGGUUACCUUCAUCUCUUCUGAAGGCAUUUGCUUCUAUUAAGCAAGUUAUCUUCUCAUCUAUGGAGAAGAAUAAUGUGCCUCACACAUUUUGGUCUUCCUAUCUCCCAUCUUUGAUACAACAGAAAGGUAUUGCAAAAAGAAUUGCAUCAAUCUUGUCAGGCUAUGGUCUAAUAGCUUAUCAACUAGGAAACCAUGAUUCUGUGUUAAAUCACAAUGAACAGCACGAGAAGUUUGAUGCCCACAGAUUGAAUUCCACCGGUUCUCACCCAAAAGGAGGUUUAGCACAUAAAUUAUCAGGAUUUAGAGCUUUAGCUGCUGGAGCGCCCAGAUCAGGCCAACAACAUCUGAUCCGUUGCCUUCUUCAUGGUUUUGUGGGUCAUACUGUAAUACACAAGCUUGAUCUUGCAACUAUGGCACAGGAGGGAAACGGUGAUAUUCUUAGUGGACUCACACAAAUUCUUCUAAAAUGCCUUAAUCUUGGAAGAUGUAUAAUCUAUAUGCCUAGAAUUGAUUUGUGGGCCAUCGACAAGUUCCAUGAACAAGAAGCAGAAGAUCAUGUGCUCAAUGUGGGAACAAGCAAGUUAGGGUCCACAGCAACAAAAAAUAUUAAAAAAUGUUCUGAAGUAUGGAAUUCGUUGGUUGAUCAGAUGGGUUCAUUGUUAGCUUCUGUAUCCAUCAGUGUUCUGUCCACCAGUGAACUGAAGUUUCAAGAUCUCCCUAGUGGAGUAAGACAUUUCUUCAGCACACAUGUUGUAGAUCAAUGUCUUGCUUCUUCAGAACACACAAUACCAAGGUUCUCUGUGAAUGUUGACAGCUACUUUACCUGGGAUGAGGUUAUUGACGCAUGCUGUUUGCGGAUAUCACAUGAUUUAGUUCAGCAGCAUGUUCAACUUUUGCAUGACAGGGCUCAUAACAAUCAUGAUGAACAGAAAGAGGUCUUUGUUCCUAUGGAAAUUAGUGCACCAGGUGAACAUAGAUCCAGUGGGAGUAAGGAAGCCAGCAUGUUAACGAAGUAUCCAUUGAACAUGGACAAGCAUCCCUCAUGUGGGGUUUCUUCAAGAGAGCAUCCUACUCAGCUGGGCACAUGUAGUGCUCAGCAAGAGCCACCAACAUCUAAUGUUGAAGAUAAAGAGGACAAUACUGAGAAAAUUGAUUUCAAUGAGAAAGUCGCAACAAAUCGUUCUAAUAGAAUUGUGAAGGACAGUGAAUCACUAGCUAUUAUGGCCUUUGGAAUUCAGAUACUACAGCACCCGCAAUUUUCUAAACUUUGUUGGGUUACAUCGAAACUACGAGAGGGCCCCUGCACUGAUAUAAAUGGACCAUGGAAAGGCUGGCCAUUUAAUUCCUGUUUAUUGCAAAGCACUACAGCUGAUAAAUCAUUAUCUGGAGGAAACAAUGUUCUUAAGGGCAAAGAGAAGAUUCCGUCUGUCAGAGGACUUGUUGCUGUUGGUCUAUUAGCAUAUAGAGGUGCUUAUGCAUCUGUUUUGGAAAUCUGUUCUGAGGUGAGAAAGGUCUUGGAACUGUUAGUUGGACAGGUCCGAACUAAAAUUUUGGAAAAGAGAAGUCGAUAUCGGUACUUCCAUAUUCUGUCCCAAGUUGCUUAUCUGGAUGAUAUCAUGAGCAGCUGGGCAUACACCUUUCAAAGGUUACAUAGUGAAAACAGGAGAGUAAAAACAAGUCCAAAGGUAACUGUUGGAAAGUCAUCCACAAGAGAAUGUCAAGGCGACAGCAACACUGCAGAAGCAAACAUACUUGGUGCUCCUGCUGGCUGCUCUGAGGCCCAAGGCACUCCUGGCCAACAUACAGAUGACCUUGAAGUUAUUCCUGCUCACUGCCCUAGUGAGAUGCAAGAGAAUUCAGUCCAACAUGCUCCAGGCCAUCUUGAAAUCCAUGGCAUUGUCUGCGACCUUGACAAUGAUAAUGUGACAUCUAUAUCCAGCAUAAAUGCAGUGGAACCUGAUCUUAUCCAUUCAGCUUCACUUGAUGUGCACACAGAUUCACUUACCCCAGCAGAUGCAGUAAUAAAUGAUGGGCAAUCUUGUGGGGUUGACAAUGAUGGGCAAAUGUCCAGAGUAAUCAAUGGAGAAGAAAACCACAUAUCUAAUAUUGAAAGACCUGAAAGCCACACAGUAUCUGUUGCGGAUUUCAAUGAGUUGCAAAGGAAAAAUGCUGUUGCAUCCUCAACUAGUACCGACAGUGCAGGAACAUCCAGGAACAUGGUGUCUUCUGAAGCUCGUGGAAGUGACAAUGAGCGGAAUACUGAUUUCCCUGUGGAUGAUGUCAAAUUAGGUCAUUUGGUUAAUCCUCAAUCACAGGAUACCAUGAAAAGUCUCUCAGUUCUGAAACCUCCAUGUCUCUACAAAUGUUGCCCUGUGUGUUUCAAUGCUGUUUAUAAGAUGGUUCAUGAUAUUCUUUCAAAUUCAGUAAGGCCUAGUCUGCAUUGCUUAGCAGUCGAUGAUAUGCAUGACCUUUUGUCAUCAUGGUCAGUGAAUCUUCUAGCAACAGUUAGAAAAUGGUAUACUUCUCAAGGUAUUGUUGGCUCUGAAGAAAAUUCUGGAGAAGGGCAUUGUGUUUGUAGCAGUGAUAAUGGUUGUGUUCCAAGGGAGUGCACAUGCCAUUUGGAAAGCAACGAAGAUGCUGGAACUAUAAAGGAUGAGAGCUAUUAUCUAAGUGGACAGCCAUUAAGUUUUUUCUUUAAAGAUGGUGUAUUGAUACCACCAGAUAUCACUGCACCAACUACACUUCAUUGCAGUUAUAUGAGAUUAUGUGUUUGCUCGAUACCAGGUUCAAUUUCUAUGUUCAAUCGGAUCUCGAGUUGAUGUGAUUGUGUGAUGCAAGGUACUUCAAUGCUAAGGAUACCACAGUUCUGAUCUUUUUCCUGUGCUGGCCUAUCUUCAGUGUUUACCAGGUCUUGUGCACUCUCAUGGGAUUUUGCUUGUUUCCCCAGUGGUAGCAGCUAGUUCAUUGCAAUUACACCUCCUCCCUUGAUGCAACUCCCAAGCUAGCCUUCUGCAAAUAAAUUGCCUUUAUUGGUUAUGUUCAGCAGUGGAGUGCUGGGUUAUAUAGUUUUUGGGAAACCUGGAUCGACUGAAAAGAAACAAUGCUAUUGAUUUUGUGUCUGUUAAGUGGUUCCGUUGUAUACGCAGUCUACUGUUACUGAUAUUGGAAUCUUUAAACUAGCUGAUCCGUGAUGCUUUCUCAAAUCUCAUUGUAUUAUGUAUUAUAGCUCAAUUAAAUCACUGAGUUGAUCAGUUGAAACAAGAUUGACAAGUACCUACAGUGUCCAAGUUGUACCUUCAGACUGGUUACUGACCAAGUGGCCUUACUAUGCCCAGUUCCCUGAAGUAGCCAUGCCAUGGCUUGGCUUAUCCAGUUUGAUACAUUUUGCCAUGGUGGUGGUUUAUUGCUCUUUUAGCAAAGCAGUUGUGCUGGCUAUUCUUUGUUGGACAAGUUUAGUUUGAAGGCAGGCAUAUGUUCUAUUUGUAUGUGGCUUGCCAUUUUCAUAAUUUUGUCAGCAGAACUGGGACAAACUUAUUAUUGUAAAAGGGAAGAUUAUUAUUUGAA